rnacentral:rRNA from 1 species
CCAGCAGCUGCGGUAAUUCCAGCUCCAAUAGCGUAUAUUAAAGUUGUUGCAGUUAAAAAGCUCGUAGUUGGAUUUCUGGCGGGAGCAGCCAGUCCUGCCUCUUGCGAGGUUGUGCACUAGCGCUGUAUCCGGCCAUCCUUGUGGAGAACGUUUCUGGCAUUAAGUUGUUGGUCUCGGGAUCUGCAUCGUUUACUGUGAAAAAAUUAGAGUGUUUAAAGCAGGCAUUUGCUUGAAUACAUUAGCAUGAAUAAUAAGAUAGGACUUUGGUACUAUUUUGUUGGUUUGUGCACCAGAGUAAUGAUUAAUAGGGACAGUUGGGGCUAUUCGUAUUCCAUUGUCAGAGGUGAAAUUCUUGGAUUUCUGGAAGACGAACUACUGCGAAAGCAUUUAGCAAGGAUGUUUUCAUUAAUCAAGAACGAAAGU